rnacentral:rRNA from 1 species
UACGUAGGUGGCGAGCGUUGUCCGGAUUUACUGGGCGUAAAGAGCGCGCAGGCGGUCGUUCAAGUCGCGUGUGAAAGCCCCCGGCUCAACUGGGGAGGGUCACGCGAUACUGAUCGACUCGAAGGCAGGAGAGGGAAGUGGAAUUCCCGGUGUAGUGGUGAAAUGCGUAGAUAUCGGGAGGAACAUCAGUGGCGAAGGCGGCUACCUGGCCCAAUACUGACACUCAGGUGCGACAGCGUGGGGGGCAAACAGG